rnacentral:rRNA from 1 species
GCUUACGGCCACACUACCUUGAGAACGCCAGAUCUCGUCUGAUCUCGGAAGCUAAGCAGGGUCGGGCCUGGUUAGUACUUGGAUGGGAGACCGCCUGGGAAUACCAGGUGCUGUAAGCC